UCGGAAUGACUGGGCGUAAAGGGCGCGUAGGCGGAUGGCACAUUCAGAUGUGAAAUUCCCGGGCUUAACCUGGGGGCUGCAUUUGAUACGUGUUGUCUUGAGUUCGGAAGAGGGUCGUGGAAUUCCCAGUGUAGAGGUGAAAUUCGUAGAUAUUGGGAAGAACACCGGUGGCGAAGGCGGCCAGCUGGCGCUGACCUGACGCUGAGGCGCGAAGGCGUGGGGAGCGAACGGG
rnacentral:rRNA from 1 species